CUCAAAUCCUACUUAUUUUAAUUAUGCAUUAGUGUUUUGAAACUAGCAUGCAUGGUAGGAUUUUGUUUUCAAAGUAAAGUAUUAUGCUAUGCUUAGCAAACCCUAGUAGUGUGUAGCUACUCCUGAACCUGUUGAUAGGAUACUUUAUUUUUUCUCUACAACAUCAAAUGCCAAAUGUUAUUUCAUUGUUUCGAUUGUGAUGGUUUGAAAAGUGAAAAUUAACAACCUUAAUGAAUCACCUGGGUGGAUUGUUUGAGUGGUGGGCGGCUGCUCAGGGCUCCGACCCUGGAGUAACCAGUGGCAGGUGGGUGCGUGAGAGUGCGCAGUUGAAUAGUGGUUACUCUAGACUGCACCCCUGGAUUUCACCAGGGGAUCGUGCGGGGGUUUAUUAUCUGUAAUGGUUCUAAGCCUGUGAGUUUCACUUGUGGAUGGCCACCCAGGAUUAAAGAGAUUACUAUGUCGUCCAUGUUUUAGUUAGCUUCCAGUGCAGCCUUAUGGUAUUAUGGGCUCUGCCGGGAUUAAGUAAGUUGUGAGGUCAAACUUGUUGCUAGACAUGAUGAUGUGGCUUGCAACCAAACGGGAACGGGUCUAGCUGGUUAUGGUUGAAGCCUCCUUCUGAAAGAUCUUGUCUCAUUUCUUCUCUUGGGAAGGGUGGGUCGUAAGGUGAAAGUGCACAACCUCUCGAGAGUUAAACCUAAGAUCUUAGCCGUGUCCCCGGUUACGGACAAUUUGAGCUUUCUAGGCAAGGAAUGUACGGAAGAAUCUCAUCAUUGUUUUCUGAAUGUAUUUAAAAUUUUGUAUCAACCUUGAAAAACUCAUGGGAGAUGUAACCAUGUGAUUAUUCUAAAACCCAUGGAGGAUUUAACCAUGGUGUGA